rnacentral:rRNA from 1 species
UACAGAGGGGGCAAGCGUUGUUCGGAAUCACUGGGCGUAAAGGGCGCGUAGGCGGGAUGGCAAGUCAGUCGUGAAAUCUCUCGGCUCAACCGAGAAACGUCGGCUGAUACUGCCGUUCUUGAGGGAUGCAGAGGAGACUGGAAUUCCCGGUGUAGCGGUGAAAUGUGUAGAGAUCGGGAGGAACACCGGUGGCGAAGGCGGGUCUCUGGGCAUCUCCUGACGCUGAGGCGCGAAAGCGUGGGGAGCAAACGGG